GUUAAGAUGGCUGAGCGGUCUAAAGCGCGCGUUUAAGUCGCAUUAAAAUUCUGCAGGCGUGGGUUCGGAUUCCCACUUCUGACA